rnacentral:lncRNA from 10 species
CACACACUCUCUCUUUCUCAUUCUCCUUUCCCUCCUCUCCAUCUCCCUAUUGCAUUGUGUCUGACUGAUUUUCAGAGCACCUUCGCUGUUUCCCCCUUCUCGUUCCCUUCUCAUAAAAUAUCUAGACAGGAAGGAGGUGGCUGCAGAGGCUGAACAAUCUCAUAUUCUGCCUGCAAUGUCAUCGUUUCUUUCCCCCAUUUUAGGGGGCUGAAGUUGCCCAGCAAGGGAUGCAGAGGAGCUGGAAAAGAAGGGGGGAGCUCUCCAGAGGCAGCUGCGGUCAGGGGCAGGGACUGCCGCCAGAUGUGCCUGCCUUUCUGGGCUUUGAUGAGAAAGGGGCAGCAGGAGGAAAUAUUGGGAGACAAAAGCCCCGGUUUAAAUGAUCAUUUUCUUUAUUUAACAUGGCAGCAGACACUCUCUGCGUAGGAUCAUCAUGCCGAGCAUAAACUGGACUUUCCCACUUGCCUGGCAGGAGUCACACAGAUCCCUGCGUGCUAAAUGAACAUCUGAGGUUUGAGAUGGGGCCCAAGAUGCUUUUCUGACAAGUUUCCUGGUGAUGCAAUGUUGCUGUUGGGGAAACCUCCAUUUGACCCUUGAAUCCUGACUAUUGGAGAAACAGCACCAUAUUUUGGAUACUGAUUCAGACCAUAUACAGCCUUCUGGAGAAUCUUGCCCCAGUCCUGAAAGGUAUUUCUAUUCAUCUAGUUGGUGCUAUAACUGAGUCUUCAAAAGACAAUUCCACUGUUCUAUCAAGAAAGCUGCUUCAGGAUGGUGGGAAAUAUGUUUUGCUACUGUUCCUGAUUCAUUUCAUUGUGAUAAGAAAAGCUGCUUG